rnacentral:tRNA from 1 species
GCUCCUAUAGCUCAGUGGUAGAGCACUCCCUUGGUAUGGGAGAGGUCGGCGGUUCAAAUCCACCUAGGAGCACCA